CGGGGAAAGGGGGGGUUGCUGUGGCUGGUGCGCCAAGGCACCGAAUUACAAAUCCCAAAGAGCCUCGCAGCAGCGCUAGCUAGGCAAGAUUAGAGCAGGAACUUUUACCGUAGGAAACUGCGGUCUGAUACCAGCUCCAACAAAGGCAGAUGAGAAAAUUUGUUUUGAGAUGGAGCCACUCAAGGAGGAAAUGCGUAGAGGAUUCCAGAAUGACAAACAUGGAAAUUUGUAUGGAAGAACUAUGUGUGUUUAACCUGUUGGAUUAAACCUGCUGUUUGGAGGAAGAAGGAGAGAGAACGGACAGAAAAAAAAAAUGGAAUACAAGAUUUUGCAGAGGU